UACGAAGGUCCCAAGCGUUAUCCGGAUUUAUUGGGUUUAAAGGGUGCGUAGGCGGGUUAUUAAGUCAGUGGUGAAAGCCUUCAGCUUAACUGAAGAAUUGCCAUUGAUACUGAUGAUCUUGAAUAUUGUGGAGGUCAGCGGAAUAUGUCAUGUAGCGGUGAAAUGCUUAGAUAUGACAUAGAACACCAAUUGCGAAGGCAGCUGGCUACACAUAUAUUGACACUGAGGCACGAAAGCGUGGGGAUCAAACAGG
rnacentral:rRNA from 1 species